GUCAGAAAAUAAGAGUCCAGUUGAUGAAACCACAACAAUUGAAAUCCAUGUUCAAUCUCAGUUAUCAAGAAAAUCUUCAUGAUAUACUGUAAGAAAAAACAAAUGGAUUACAAAACAGUUCGAUUUCUCUUCGAUGGAAAACGUGCUUCACCAACAAAGACUAUUGAUGAAAUUGGGUUAAAGAAUGGUGAUCAGAUCGUUGUUGUGUUGCACCAAGAUGGAGGAGGAUUCACAAAUUAAAUAUGAAGAAGAACUACAUAUCACACAUGAAUAUGUUGUACUUUUCUAAUUUAUGCUUUUUACUAUAAUUUUAAUUUCGAAAUUAUGUACUUUGGUUUUUUUACUAAAGACAAUUUGGAUGUCAUGCGUCUAAGUUGAUCAUGAAUAUGUACUUUAUGAUUCACCAAGCAAUACAAAGUACUUAAAUUUGCUUAUGUGAA